GCAAGUCGAGCGGAAACGAUCCUAGCUUGCUAGGAGGCGUCGAGCGGCGGACGGGUGUGUAACGCAUGGGAAUUGCCUGAAAGUGGGGGACAACCUGGGGAAACUCAGGCUAAUACCCCAUACGUCCUACGGGAGAAAGCAGGGGAUCUUCGGACCUUGCGGUAUCGGAUGAGCCCAUGUCGGAUUAGCUUGUUGGUGAGGUAAUGGCUCACCAAGGCGACGAUCCGUAGCUGGUCUGAGAGGAUGAUC
rnacentral:rRNA from 1 species